GUAGGUGGCAAGCGUUGUCCGGAAUUAUUGGGGCGUAAAGCGCGCGCAGGCGGUUCUUUAAGUCUGAUGUGAAAGCCCACGGGCUCAACCGUGGAGGGUCAUUGGAAACUGGAGAACUUGAGUACAGAAGAGGAAAGCGGAAUUCCACGUGUAGCGGUGAAAUGCGUAGAGAUGUGGAGGAACACCAGUGGCGAAGGCGGCUUUCUGGUCUGUAACUGACGCUGAGGCGCGAAAGCGUGGGGAGCAAACAGGAUUAGAUACCCUGGUAGUCCACGCCGUAAACGAUGAGUGCUAAGUGUUAGGGGGUUUCCGCCUCUUAGUGCUGCAGCUAACGCAUUAAGCACUCCGCCUGGGGAGUACGGCCGCAAAGGCUG
rnacentral:rRNA from 1 species